GCGGGUAUAACUCAGUUGGUUAGAGUGUUUGCUUGUCGAGCAAAAGGUCACGGGUUCGAGUCCCGUUACUCGCG
rnacentral:tRNA from 1 species